ACAACAAUAUAGGUCUAAAUAGACCCGUUGGCCACAUUAGGUUCCACAUCCAUGAUACCAAGCGACAACCCAUAGGCCAUUCCAUCAAUGCACAAACAACAACAAAAUGGACCAUGGAACACGCUUCAAUGUCCGUCUACAUUGCAAGCAAUGCAUUACGAAAACAACUUUGUUCAAGGCAAACAAUGCCAUCCAUCAGGAAUGCAACACAGGAACCCACUUGAUGCUCAAGGCAAAAGAGCCAUGUAGCACAUUUGAGGAGGUAAGAACGCAUGGAAGUUGCUGCGGAAGCAGACAAUCAACCAUCCGUAACAAACCAAACACCACUCAUGCACCUUUAUGGUAGACAUCCCCGAAGAUCACCAAACUAACAACCACCCCCUUGGCACCGACACCAAAGAAG
rnacentral:misc_RNA from 1 species